rnacentral:rRNA from 1 species
CUAGCAUAUCCAUAAGCGGAGGAAAAGAAACCAACAGGGAUUGCCUUAGUAACGGCGAGUGAAGCGGCAACAGCUCAAAUUUGAAAUCUGGCCCCUUCGGGGUCCGAGUUGUAAUUUGUAGAGAGUGUUUCGGGUGAGGACCCGGUCUAAGUCCAUUGGAACAUGGCGUCAUAGAGGGUGAGAAUCCCGUAUGUGACCGUGGAUCGAGCCCAUGUGAAGCCUCUUCGACGAGUCGAGUUGUUUGGGAAUGCAGCUCAAAAUGGGUGGUAAAUUUCAUCUAAAGCUAAAUACUGGCUGGAGACCGAUAGCGCACAAGUAGAGUGAUCGAAAGAUGAAAAGCACUUUGGAAAGAGAGUGAAACAGUACGUGAAAUUGUUGAAAGGGAAGCGCUUGCAACCAGACCUGCCCGUAGGCGAUCAGCCGCUGUUCUCAGUGGUGCACUCGCUCUGCGAUCAGGCCAGCAUCGGUUUCGGCGGUCGGAUAAAGGCCUUGGGAAUGUAGCUCCCUUUCGGGGGAGUCUUAUAGCCCUCGGUGCAAUGCGGCCAGUCGGGACCGAGGACCGCGCUUCGGCUAGGAUGCUGGCGUAAUGGUUGUAAGCGACCCGUCUUGAAACACGGACCAAGGAGUCUAACAUCUAUGCGAGUGUUUGGGUGUUAAACCCAUGCGCGGAAUGAAAGUGAACGGAGGUGAGAACCCUGAAGGGCGCAUCAUCGACCGAUCCAGAUGUCUUCGGAUGGAUUUGAGUAUGAGCAUAGCUGUUGGGACCCGAAAGAUGGUGAACUAUGCCUGAAUAGGGUGAAGCCAGAGGAAACUCUGGUGGAGGCUCGCAGCGGUUCUGACGUGCAAAUCGAUCGUCAAAUUUGGGUAUAGGGGUACGUUUUUGGUUUUUUUUUAGUUUUAGAGAUACCCAGAUUAAUGCUAACUCUUUGAUAUAGGCAAAGACUAAUCGAACCAU